rnacentral:tRNA from 1 species
GUAUGUAGCUCAGUGGUAUAUCACUUGCCUAGCAUGUGUGAGGCACUGGGUUCAAUCCUCAGCAUCACA